GAGGGAAUAGUUUAAUGGUAAAACAGCGAUCUUCAACAUUGUAGUUAUAGGUUCAACUCCUUUUUCCCUUG
rnacentral:tRNA from 1 species